AGAGUUUGAUCCUGGCUCAGAAUGAACGCUGGCGGCGUGCUUAACACAUGCAAGUCGAGCGAGGCCAGGGGGGCAACUCCCUGAGUCGAGCGGCGGACGGGUGAGUAACACGUGGGUAACCUACCCGGAAGUGGGGAAUACCUCGGGGAAACUCGAGCUAAUACCGCAUGACAUCUUCGGGACGAAAGUCCUGACGAUCAAAGCGGGGUCGCAAGAUCUCGCGCUACCGGAUGGGCCCGCGCCCGAUUAGCUAGUUGGUGAGGUAACGGCUCACCAAGGCGACGAUCGGUAACCGGCCUGAGAGGGCGAUCGGUCACACCGGAACUGAGACACGGUCCGGACUCCUACGGGAGGCAGCAGUGGGGAAUCUUGCGCAAUGGGCGAAAGCCUGACGCAGCAACGCCGCGUGGAGGAUGAAGGCCCUUGGGUUGUAAACUCCUGUCGGCUGGGAAGAAAUCGUUCGCGGCUAAUACCCGCGGACGUUGACUGUACCAGCAAAGGAAGCCCCGGCUAACUCUGUGCCAGCAGCCGCGGUCAUACAGAGGGGGCCAGCGUUAUUCGGAAUUAUUGGGCGUAAAGGGCGCGUAGGCGGCCAUGCGUGUCUUCCGUGAAAUCCCUCGGCUCAACCGAGGACGUGCGGAAGAAACUGCAAGGCUCGAGUCCAGAAGAGGGGGGCGGAAUUCCCAGUGUAGCGGUGAAAUGCGUAGAUAUUGGGAGGAACACCGGUGGCGAAGGCGGCCCCCUGGGCUGGUACUGACGCUGAUGCGCGAAAGCGUGGGUAGCAAACGGGAUUAGAUACCCCGGUAGUCCACGCCGUAAACGAUGGGCACUUGGUGUCGCGGGUAUCGACCCCCGCGGUGCCGAAGCUAACGCAUUAAGUGCCCCGCCUGGGGAGUACGGUCGCAAGGCUGAACUCAAAUGAAUUGACGG
rnacentral:rRNA from 1 species